rnacentral:lncRNA from 1 species
CCUUUUAUGUCACCUCGGUACCCUGGAGGUCCAAGGCCCCCAUUGAGGAUACCUAAUCAGGUAAGAUUUGUGUGCUACUUACGUUUUUUAAAAAAUGAAUAAAGAGCUUGAAAAUGUCACAAAUAUUUCUUAUCAGAUAAAAUAUAAAAUUAUCCUUUCUCUACCUCACUUAAUGCUACUUCUAGUAAUAUAUAGUCUACUUCAAGGGUUGUCUAACUAUUGCCUAUAGGCUAUUUUUGUAAAUAAAAUUUAUUAGAAUGGUACCACAUAAAUUUAUGUAUUCUCUGUGGCUACAUUUACACUACAGUACAGAUUUGAGUGGUCAUGAUGAGACCACAUUUGGUUUGCAGUGGUAAAAUAUUUACUGUCUGGAUCUUCACAGAAAAUGUUUGUCAACCUUUGGAGUCUACCUUUAACUUUGAUCCUAUUUUAAAGAUUUAGAUAAUUUGGGUAAAUGCUGAUUAUCCUUUCAUUUAAAAGAUGACAAUGAAUUUUCAGUGAACAUAUCUUGGUUUACUUUCAUAUAAUAUAGCUUCAACAUCAUGGCUCUAACACUCAUAUAAAUGUUGCCUAGUUAUAAUGUCAUCUCAGGCAAAUAAUUAACUACUUCUAAAUAGUUAGAUUUAUUAAUAAGCAGAUAUUUAACAAUAUAGCUUCCAAUUUUAGUCACAAGAGCUCUGAAGUUCCACAAUAUUUUGUUCUUAUUUUUUAAAUCAAUAUUUAUUUACUAAGGAGAAUAAAAUACAAUUUUUUACUUGUGGAGUUGUUGUUUACUUGAGGAUAUAGGCAGUGUGCCUGUGUGUAUAUAAUAAAAGCAGAAAUUAAGUGAUGGUAUGGUAUGUUUAAAUCAAAAUAAUUUUCACAAAUAAUUGUCACAUUCUCUAAUUCUGUUAUUGUGUACUGCAGUAAUAUUCCCAAUAUAAAGUAAACCCUCUUAUCACAAUAAAUUCCUUUUCAUUCUUAUUCUCUUUCCUUUUUUUACUUUUUUCACUAUCAAAAAUGGAACAAGAUAGUUAGUUGUUAAUUCACUUCAUAGUGACAAAAUUGUGCUUCUCCAUUCCAAAUUUAUACUGAAAUUAUGCUAUGCCUUUGAAGUUUCCCAAUAUGCUGCUGUUCUCCAAUCCUAGUGCACAGCCAAGUACCAAUACCCCCAUCCCAAGGGAGAAAUUUAAGCAGAAACCAAUGCUGGGUCAUCCCAUAUUUUGAUGCUUGCCACUCUUCACAUUAGCAGCUGGAGCAUUUUCUCCUACAGACUGAAUCCACUGUUCAGUACAUGGGACCAGGGAAUGAUCCAUGAAGUAAAAAAGAAAAGUACAUGAAUGCUUCAACAUAUGGGAAUUAAUAUUUUCUCUAUGGGUGAACCUGUAUAUAUUGACAAUCAUAUCUACCUAUAGAGUUGUCUAAGUAUUUUAAAUUUCUUUUUAGAGAAUAGAAAUUUGUAUCUUUUAUGGAGUUUACAUGAUGUUUCAAAUACCCUUCCCUAGCUUUUUUGUAUAGCAUAAGUCUAGGAAGUUCCUGAAAAUGUGAAUUAGCAAAAUGUGAAAUUUUUGUGUAUUACCAGAAUAUUUCCGAUUCUAUAUAUUCUGUAGCAGUGAUGAAAAUGGUUUUGAAUUAUGCAUUGAAUAAUUGCAUUCAUUUAACAUUGUCAAAAUGCCUGACAUUUGUAGGAUACUGUGCUAGGUUUUGUAUCUAUAGAGGCUAACAAAAUUGAAGACACACUUCUAAGAAGAGGUUGUUGGUAGGGAUGUGAAAUUGUAAAUCUAGAUUGUUUGACAUUUUUUAAGAAAAACUAUGUAAUGUCUUUGGAAUUUUUAAGGAAACAUUUUCAAAAUUUGAAGAUAAUAAAGUUAUUAUACAGGCUUUCUUUCUUCAAAAAUUUUAAAGUCUUUACUACCUAAACAUGUUUUAAAACAAUUCUUCUCCUCUAUGAGUGGCUCUUUUUUGUUUAUACCCACCAACUCAUAUACAUAUUUAGUUAAACUUCAGUAAUCCAGAUAUCUGUUGUCCAAACUUAAAGUGAUUAUAUUUAUACUGUUUUAAAAUACUCAUGUUAGUACUUUGAAUAAUAUUACUGUAGAAAAUGUUUAAUCUAUUUGGAGCAUGCCCUUUCAAGCUCAAAGAUGAUUCUUCUAUUUCAUUAUGUAGUCAUUAAAAUAGAAUUGUCAACUAUUUUGUUGUCUAAUUAGAAUGAUAUAUCAAAAUAUUUUAAAUUUAGGUUUCAUUUAAAUUGAUCAUGAUUUAGUAAAAUUUAUAUAUUGUUUCUAAGAAAGUAGGAAGUGAAAUAUUAACCUCUUCAGUAGGAUUGACGAUUCAUUUUGAAUAUAUGAAAGAUAUAUCUUUAAUAAACAUACCCUUUACAACUUAUAGUUACUAAUUUGACUACAGAUUUUAAUUCAGGAUUUUCCAAUCUUUUUUUUAAUUUCAGACUAAAUCCAUAAUAGUUUAUACUGUUUAUAUAUUUAUAGGACUGGGUGUUCAGAAUGUGGUCUGAUAUUACUAUGCCGAAAAAUAUAAGAACAGGUAAUAGUAUCUAAAAUGUUGAAAAUCAAACCACAAAAAAUAUAACAGGGAAUAAAUAUAAAUGAAUAAACAUUUAUAUGAAUAAAAAAAGAAAUUAAAUCUACAAAAUAUAUCGGACUAUACAAUUUUACAUUGAACUUGGUUCAAUUCUCAGAAGGGGACCUGAUUGAAACAUAACCUAGAGUAGAACAGGUCUUUAUUCUUUUAUUUAUGGAUAGAAUAUCUAAUCAAAAAAAAUUCACAGCAUGUAUUCAACACUAUAUUGAAGAAUCAAGACAACCAGAAAUACAGUGACUGUUAAUGAAGUGAGUAACACCAAGAAUAAACUAUUGAUUUGGUGAUCCUGUGUAAUUUUGCAAAUUUAUACUCUAUUUCUCUCCAUUCCUGAAAAAAGUAUCAAAAAUUGAGAUAACAUAUAGUAAAACCUGUUGUCCAUUUUAUAUGCUGAAGUUGAAUUCAGUAUUCUAAAAACAUACUACAUCUGGCCAUUCUACUGAGAACUUCAAACAUAUCUGUCAAAUAAUAGUUGAGUGGUUAAAUAAAUUAUAUUUAAAUAGUGAAAUAGUGUACAGUUAUUAAAAGACAUGCUAUAGAAGUAAAUAUUGAUAUGCUAACGUGUUUAUGAUAAUAUUAUAGUAUUACCAAAUGUAAAAAUAUGUAAUAUAUAUAAAACAUAUGUAAAUAUAUCACCUUUGUUACAUAAAUGUACAAACUUUCUUUCAUUCAUCUUUACCCCUACCACACAUAUACUAACAUUUGUCAAAAACAACCUGUAAAGACCAUAUCCUUUAUUUCUGAGUAGUAAGAUUAUGAGUGAAUUUUGCUUUUUAAAAAUUUCAAUAUUUUUUAAGGCUUGCAUUGAGCUGGUAUAAAAUCUGUGAUUAGAGAAAGAUAUUAUUAAUUAUAUAAAUAGAUACAUGAAAAUACAAAUAUUGUAUUCAUUUGGUAAUUACAUAUAUAUAUAUAUAUAUAUAUAUAUAUAUAUAUAUGAUUGUCCUUUGGUAAUAUUUAAUGUACAGUUCUUAUUGGUAAGAAGAAAAAUACAAUGGAUGCAAAAGAUAAGCAGAUCUUAAUAAGACUUUUCAGAUAUGGAAAAUAUUAGCACGCAUUUGAACAAAAAAAAUUUUUGCUUGGACACUUACUCAGAUAUUGAAAAUAAAUUUACCAUAUCCCCAUGCAACCAAGACGUACAUUUCAAGCAAAAUGCAUAGUUAUUCUUCAUUACAUGUUCUGUUAUUUAAGAUAAAUAGUAUUUCACAUGUCCUUUACCAGUAAUUUUCUAUUUUUAGAAAACUUUUCAUAUGUAGAAUUUAACUUUUAUUUAGUGAUAUCAAUAUGAAACAAAUAAGAGAAAUCUGUUCUAUAGAAUAAAUAAUAGGAGUCUUAUCACCCUAUUAAGGAAUUUCUAAUUUUAAAAAUUAAAAAUGAAGUCAGGCAUGGUGGCACAAACCUAUAAUCCCAGUGACUUGGGAGGCUGAGCCAAGAGGAUUUUAAGUUCAAAGUCAGCCUCAGCAUCUUAAUAAGACUCUGUCUCAAAAUGAAAAGGACUGGAGAUUUAUCUCAAUAGUAAAGCACUGGAUUCAAUUCCCAGUACCAAAAUAAUAAUAAUAAUAAUAAUAAUAAUAAUAAUAAUAAUAAAUGAAAAUUAAAUAUUUUUACAUGUUUAAUAUAAAUUAGUGAGUAGUGUUGCAAAGCAUUAGGAGCUUCUUAUUUUUAUUAUGAUGAUUACUAUUAAUAUACUUAAAUAACUAUUUAAAAUCCAAUGAGACCAUCUUCAAAGCAUAUUUUUUCUUCAUGAAAAAAUAAAUUUUUAGUUUAUGGGUUAUGCCACACACACAAACACACACAUACACACACACACACACAUACACAUUCUUUCAGUUAUUUUCUACCUUUAUAGAACAAAGUAAGUAAAAAAAUUCAGUAUGUAUGGCAAAAUUAAUAAUAAUAAUAAUAAUAAUAGUAAUGACCGUCUCUUUCCCAAACCAAGAAAAGCUUAGACAGUGAACAGUAUAUAAUCUUACCCAGUUUGAGUUAUCUGGAGAUUUGUGAUAUAGUAUUUAAUUUCCAUCAAAACAGAUCUCAUUAUUUUAGAUUCAAAUAUAUCCUUUUGGGAUAUAGUCCAACCUAAAAAAUGCAUUGCCACUCAUUCAUUGACUAUUCAAAAUCACUCACAGAAAAAAAAAUUAAUAGGUAUUCUUUGAAGCUUACUGUGUACCAGGCACCAUUCUAAAUGUGGGGAUGUCACUGAAUAAACUAAGGAAAAUACCCUUUCUUAUUAAGCUGAUAUUCUAAUGUAACACCACCCCAUAGAACUUUCUGGCAUGAUGGAAAUGUUCUAUAUCUGUACUGUCAUGUGCAAUAGCAUGUUUAAUCACUUGAAAUGUGACUGGUAUGACCUUAAUUUUUAACUUGAAUAAUUUUAGUUAAUUUAAAUCGAAAUAGUUGCAUGUGACAAAGGGCUAUUACAUUCAUCUUCAUAGUUGAGUGAUUAAAAUCAAAAAUUUAAAAAUAUAUAUCAAAUGUUGACUUAUAUAUAGGAACAAACAGUCUUACCCUAAAUAAUAUUUCUGUAUUUCAAUAUCUUCCCUAUUGAUGAUGGAUUUUUAGAGAAAAAAGAAAAUGAUGGUAGUAUUGUUCAAGGGACCUAGGUGGGUAAUGCACCUUCAGUCCAAAAACCAGUCAUGUAUGACUCUGAGCAGGUGACCUUUUAGGUUUUGUUUUUCUUACCCAUAAAAUGAGAGAAUAGAUUCAGAUGUUUUUAAAAUCCCUUCUAGUUCUAACAUUUCUUGAUUAUUUAAUUCUACUUCAUAUCAUAUAAUUGAAAGACCUAUUAAAAACUUGUGAUGGACAAUCAGGUUAACUAAAUUAUAUCUUUAAAGCGUUGAGAAAUUCACUAUUUUUUUCAUCAUCGGAGAGUGUUUAGUCUAGGAAAUAUAUACCAGACCUUAAGUUCCUAGGGGAUCUUAUCACUGAAAUCCUGAGGCAUCCUUUAUAGAUGAAAUAAUUCUUUUAUGAAGCAAGCAGUUCCUCCAUUUAAUUACUUCUGCUUUGGUAAAAUUUCUAUUACUUCAUUUAUUUUAAAUCCUAGGGUUUACAUUUUGUGUUUCAGUACUUUUAGAAUGUGUUGAUGUGAUUAUAAGCCUUGAUUCUACUUACUUAUCAAUAGUUUAACUGUGAACAAAUUUAACAAAUCAUAAUCUUCAUCAUCAAAAAGGAUUAAUAGUAAUGUCCUCAAAAAAUUAUUGUAAGCAUUGAUUGAAUAAAAUAAUAAAUAUAAGGAAUUUGGCAUAAUUCACAUACACUGGCUCACAAGUGUUUAUUAUCAUUGAUACUAUGCUGUUUUUACAUAUCCUCAUAAUUAGUGUUAUUUUUCUAUGAAAGUGAAGAUCUUUUAUAGAACAAACAACAUGUGCCAAAAUUCCAACUAGUUAAACAGGUCUGAAUGUAAUACAUUUAACAUGUUACAAUUAUGGCAAUCAUCUCAACCACAAGAUGCAUAAGUUUAUUUGUUCUGAUAUUAAGGGUUUAAGGAACACAUCAGUUAUUCCCAUUGAUGAACAAAGCUGUCAUCUGGUUAUCUCAGGACUGAUAAAAGGUAUUUUAAAAGAUAGAGAUUUGACUUAUUCUGAAAGAUAAAUAUUAAUGGCUCAAGAAUUUAUAGAGACUCGUUUUGAAAGACAACUUUACAUUGCUCAAGAUUUUUAUAAGAUUAUGCUACAUUAUUAAGUGAUGAGUAGAAACAAGAAAGACUUUUCAAUUGUCCUGCUAUUCUAAGAUAAAUUAGAAAAAGUAAAAUUUUGAAGAAAACCAUUACCAGCGAAAAAACAUCAUUGUCUACAAUGAAACUUGGAAUUAAGUGUCAAAGUUCUUAAGUAUGAGAAAACUUGAAAAAGCAAGAACUUCAAGUUUACAAUUGAAAAUAAUGUUGAUUAGUCAUAUAUUUCCAAUUCUCCUCUUCCCUCAUUUCUUUAUAACUAUUAAUAGUAUUGGCACCUUUUUUCUUCUUGAAACUCUCAUGUAUUCUGAGGAGAUACUGAUUUUGGUUGUCUUCCUAGUUUUAUACCUAUUCAGUUUUAGUUUCCUUUCUUACCUCCUUUUGGUGCUUUUAAAGAAUCAAAUCUGGGGAAGGAAGAUGGCGGCGAGGGGAGUGCAUUGCCCCCGUGUGCUGCUUCACUGUGUGGGAGUAUGACAAGUCAGGACGGCUAAAGGAUAUCUUGUUAGGAAUUUCCAGCAAUAGUGGGGUGCUCCGGAACCUGGAGGAAGGAUUUCCAUCGCACGAGGAUCGGCUACGGGGACUCAAACGCGAGAGGUUUGUCGCACGGAGGGUAACACUGCUUAUUCAGCAAAUCGCCCCGCGGCUAGAGUCUGCAGCGCGCGCUGGGAAACGAGGAGAUAGCGACGCAGGGAUACAGCGCUGCAGUUUCUGCCAGCCGUGCAAGCACCGUACUCAGGGCUGAAUUCUGGGUUCGAGACGGGGGAAGGAAGCGGUCCAUCUCGGUUCUCCACACCGGUCAGACCACAGAGGAGGCCAGCAGCCACCAUGUUGGAAAGCUGACGUCACCAUCCCUGUUUUCGACUGACCGCAGCUCAUUCAGCCAUAGAACAGGUAAUUUCAGGCUGCAAUUCGCCUGCGGCUUGCAGACAGAUUGCUAGGGUUCAGUGCCUGGGUGCUUCUUAGAACCUGAUCUUAUCGGAGCGAACACCGAGCGCGGGGCGGCCGAGUUCCGGCUCCCGGAACCGUCCCGGAACCGCCCUGGCCCAGGGCUGCGGAGCCUGCGGAGGCUGCUUCUUGGACCCUGCUCCUAUCAGAGCAUACACCAAGCACUAAGCGGCCGAAUUCCGGCUCCCGGAACUGAGCCCGCGGGGACUGCUUCUUGGAGCCUACACUUAUAGGAGCUUACACCGAGCACGGAGCGGCCGAGUUCCGGCUCCCGGAACUUCCCUGGCCCGGGGCUAGGAGCCCGCGGAAACUGCUUCUCGGUCCGGGUCCUGCUGAGGGCCGGUCAGGACUCACCCGUUGCUUUGGUUGCCCGGCAAGGGGAACGAAAUGCUGCCAUUCGCAUAGGAUACCAACAUGGCAGAGAUCUGAUGUCAUCAGAAAGCGGCGGAGGAGAGAACUUCAUCAAUACCAGCGGCGACAGAAACAGUUGGUCUCCUGGUAGGGGGGGUGAGGCACAGACACCCGAGUCUCCUCAAUUUGUCGUCGAGCCAGAGGGGAGGAGCCGGGCCGCCGCCAGCGCCCGGAGCAGGCCCAGCGGCUCGCCAGCGUGGUGACCGCGUGACCCCAAUUGGAGAGGGGGCGGAGCGGAGCCGCCACCCGCACCCGCAAGGUGGGCAGACCCGCGACCCAGUGGUACAUGGGCGUGGUAGGAGGGGCAGGGCAGAGCCGCCGUUCGCGCUUGCAAGGUAAACAGACCUGUGACAGCCUGGCGGGUCAGGCCCAGUGGCCUGCCAGUGUGGUACACACGUCACCCCAACUGGAGUAGGGGCAGAGCAGAUCCUUCUCCCACGCCCGGAUCAGGCCCUGCCGGUGUGGUGGUCACGUGACCCCAAUUGGAGUGGGGGCGGAGCGGAACCGCCACCCGUGCCCGCAGGGUGAGCAGACCUGUGACCAACCUGCAGAUCAGGCCCAGGGGUCCGCAGGCGUGGUAGGAGGGGCAGGGCAGAUCCGCCGCCCGCGCCUCCAAGGUAGGCAGACCUGCAACAGACCGGCGGAUCAGGCCCAGGAGCCUGCCGGCGGGGGACAAACACCACCCUAAUUGGAGUAGUGACAGAGCAGAGUCGCCUCCCUUGCCAGGAACAGACCCAGCAUCCUGCAGGCGGGGUAGUCACGACACCCCAAUUGGAGUAGGGGCAGAGCAGAGCCUCCACCCGUGCCCGAAAGGUGGGCAGAUCUGCGACCGACCAGCGGGACAGGCCCAGUGGCCUGCCGGUACGACAGACACGUCACCCCAUUUGGAGUAGGGGCAGAGUAGAGCCGCCGCCCGCGGAUGCAGGGUAGGCAAACCUGCAACCGACCAGCGGAUCAGGCCCGGUGGCCUGCCGGCGUGGUACACUCGUCACCCCAAUUGGAGUAGGGGCAGAACAGAGCCGCCGCCAGCGCCCAGAACAGGCCCAGUGACCUGCCGGCGUGGUAGCCACGACACCCCAAUUGGAAUAAGGAGAGAGCAGAGCCGCCGCCCGCGCCUGCAGGAAAGAUACGCAAGCANGCAUCCCUUUAUGUUCAAAACUCUAGAAAAACUAGGGAUAACAGGAACAUACCUCAAUAUUGUAAAAGCAAUCUAUGCUAAGCCUCAGGCUAGCAUCAUUCUGAAUGGAGAAAAACUGAAGGCAUUCCCUCUAAAAUCUGGAACAAGACAGGGAUGCCCUCUCUCUCCACUUCUGUUCAACAUAGUUCUCGAAACACUGGCCAGAGCAAUUAGACAGACGAAAGAAAUUAAAGGCAUAAAAAUAGGAAAAGAAGAACUUAAAUUAUCACUAUUUGCAGAUGAUAUGAUUCUAUACCUAGCAGACCCAAAAGGCUCUACAAAGAAACUAUUAGAGCUAAUAAAUGAAUUCAGCAAAGUGGCAGGAUAUAAAAUCAACACGCAUAAAUCAAAGGCAUUCCUGUAUAUCAGCGACAAAUCCUCUGAAAUGGAAAUGAGGACAACCACUCCAUUCAAAAUAUCUUCAAAAAAAAUAAAAUACUUGGGAAUCAACCUAACAAAAGAGGUGAAAGACUUAUACAAUGAAAACUACAGAACCCUAAAGAGAGAAAUAGAAGAAGAUCUUAGAAGAUGGAAAAAUAUACCCUGUUCAUGGAUAGGCAGAACUAACAUCAUCAAAAUGGCGAUAUUACCAAAAGUUCUCUAUAGGUUUAAUGCAAUGCCAAUCAAAAUCCCAACGGCAUUUCUUGUAGAAAUAGAGAAAGCAAUCAUGAAAUUCAUAUGGAAAAAUAAAAGACCCAGAAUAGCAAAAACAAUGCUAAGCAGGAAGUGUGAAUCAGGCGGUAUAGCGAUACCAGACUUCAAACUAUACUACAGAGCAAUAGUAACAAAAACAGCAUGGUACUGGUACCAAAACAGGCGGGUGGACCAAUGGUACAGAAUAGAGGACACAGAAACCAAUCCACAAAACUACAACUAUCUUAUAUUUGAUAAAGGGGCUAAAAGCAUGCAAUGGAGGAAGGAUAGCAUCUUCAACAAAUGGUGCUGGGAAAACUGGAAAUCCAUAUGCAACAAAAUGAAACUGAAUCCCUUUCUCUCGCCAUGCACAAAAGUGAAUUCAAAAUGGAUCAAGGAGCUUGAUAUCAAAUCAGAGACACGCCGUCUGAUAGAAGAAAAAGUUGGCUACGAUCUACAGUCGGUGGGGUCGGGCUCCAAAUUCCUCAAUAGGACACCCAUAGCACAAAAGUUAAUAACUAGAAUCAACAAAUGGGACUUACUCAAACUAAAAAGUUUUUUCUCAGCAAAAGAAACAAUAAGAGAGGUAAAUAGGGAGCCUACACCCUGGGAACAAAUCUUUACUCCUCACACUUCAGAUAGAGCCCUAAUAUCCAGAGUAUACAAAGAACUCAAAAAAUUAGACAAUAAGAGAACAAACAACCCAAUCAACAAAUGGGCCAAGGACCUGAACAGACACUUCUCAGAGGAGGACAUACAGUCAAUCAACAAGUACAUGAAAAAAUGCUCAACAUCUCUAGCUGUCAGAGAAAUGCAAAUCAAAACCACCCUAAGAUACCAUCUCACUCCAGUAAGAUUGGCAGCCAUUAGGAAGUCAAACAACAACAAGUGCUGGCGAGGAUGUGGGGAAAAGGGUACACUUGUACAUUGCUGGUGGGACUGCAGAUUGGUGCAGCCAAUUUGGAAAGCAGUAUGGAGAUUUCUUGGAAAGCUGGGAAUGGAGCCACCAUUUGACCCAGCUAUUCCCCUUCUUGGUCUAUUCCCUAAAGACCUAAAAAGAGCAUGCUACAGGGACACUGCUACAUCGAUGUUCAUAGCAGCACAGUUCACAAUAGCAAGACUGUGGAACCAACCUAGAUGCCCUUCAAUAGACGAAUGGAUAAAAAAAAUGUGGCAUUUAUACACAAUGGAGUAUUACUCUGCAUUAAAAAAUGACAAAAUCAUAGAAUUUACAGGGAAAUGGAUGGCAUUAGAGCAGAUUAUGCUAAGUGAAGCUAGCCAAUCCCUAAAAAACAAAUGCCAAAUGUCUUCUUUGAUAUAAGGAGAGUAACUAAGAUCAGAGUAGGGACGAAGAGCAGGAGAAGAAGAUUAACAUUUAACAGGGAUGAGAGGUGGGAGGGAAAGGGAGAGAGAAGGGAAAUUGCAUGGUAAUGGAAGGAGACCCUCAGGGUUAUACAGUGGAGGGGGUAGAGAGAGAGGAGGGGAGGGGAGGGGAGAGGUGGGGAGGGGGGAGGGUGGAGGAUGGGAAAGGCAGCGGAGCACAACAGACACUAGUAUGGCAAUAUGUAAAUCAAUGGAUGUGUAACUGAUGUGAUUCUGCAAUCUGUGUAUGGGGUGAAGGUGGGAGUUCAUAAUCCACUUGAAUCAAAGUGUGGAAUAUGAUAUGUCAAGAAAUUUGUAAUGUUUUGAACAACCCAAAAUAAAAAAUUAAAAAUAAUAAAAAAUAAAGAAUCAAAUCUCCCCUCCCACCCCCACCAUACCUCUCCUCAUAUUGGGGAUUGAACCCAUGGAUACCCUAAUACUGAGCUACAUACCCAGCUGUUUUGUUUUGUUUUGUUUUGUUUUUAACUUCAAGACAAAAUCUUGCUGGAGCUGGCCUCAAACUUGUGAUCCUCCAGCGUAAGUCUCCUGAGUUGCUGGAAUUACAAACUUGAGUCACCAUACCCAGCUAAGAAUUAAAUAUUUUACUUUUGUCUUCAUUCUUUGAAGUUAGUUCUAUGCUUACAAUUGUAUCACUAAUGAUUUCUAAAAUUAUCUAAUCUAAAUUUUAUUCCUUAAAUAAUUAUUUAUCAUUCUGUGCUAGUUGGAACAGAUAGGGCCCCAUGCUUACAGAGGUUAUAGUCUGGAGAUAAUAGAGAAGAAAAUAAAUAGAGAAGAAAAUAUGGUGGUAUACAAGUUCUGUAAAAGUGAGGUAUAUCUUCUAAGAACACAUUAAAAAAAAAGUCUGUGCCUUCGCUCCAUGCUAGGAAAUCCAGGAGCUAGAAAGAGGCUAUGAAAAGAUAGGAAGUGGCCAUUGUGGUUAUGAUGUGAUUUGUAUUAUAUACACUGAUUAGUAAAUAAGAACACAUAUUGAGAAUAAUGAAAGCCAGCUUUUCCAGUGUUAGAUAUUUACAAAUGAGAAAGGAUGAGGGCUGACAAUAAUCUUGAGGUAUCUGAUUUCAACCAGAGAUUAUGGAUUUAUUGUAUUACUGAAUUUAUGGCAUGCAGAUGUGCCAUAUACAUACACACAAAUAGAGAUAAAAAUUAGUUAUAGAUGUACAUGAGUAUGCAUAUGUUUGUACCUGUACACAUACUUAGAUUUUCAAACUCAUUGUUUAUUGAGAGGGUCUAAAAGUGGUGUGUCCGAUUAAUAAGAAUACUCUGAUAAUCCAGAUAUUGAUGCCUAAUGGCUGUCUGAAAUACAGGUAUGUGUGUAUGUGUGUGGGGGUGCAUGCAUGUGAACACUAUACACACAUGUAGAUGGAUGGAUGGAUAGACAUACAGCAGACAGGAACAAACAGAAAGGGAUAAUGAGAAAAAGGGUGGAAAUAAGACAAAUGUGAUGAAAUAUUGACAACUGGGGAACUGGGUCAAAUUAUAUGGUGAUUUUAUGUACUGUUCAGUCAAUUUUUCGUAAGUUUGAAAUUUUAAACACACACACAAUAUAUAUGGAGGACUAAACCCUCAGGCUGGGGCUGUAGUAGACAAUUUGUUAGAAAGUGAUCCCAACGCUGAGAUCUAAAAGAUGUCAACACUGGCCACUUUGAGCAUUCUGAGGAAAGAUUUUUAAGUUUGAUUUGUAUUUUGUCUUGUUUUUCUUUCCUUUUUUUUUUUAAAAUGGUGCAUUUGUCUUUGUUCUAAUGGUUGGCAUUUGGAUAUUAUUGAUGAAAACAUGAAUAGGAGAAAAGGAAAUUUGUACAGGUGAAGAUUAGAAUGUGAAUGUGCCAGUGACAAAAAAUUAGCCUAGAGAAGUAAGCAAGGAAAAGCUCAUAAUUGGAACUCUAUAAUAGAUAUAUAUUGGGUGUGCUUGUAAACAAAAAAUUAAAAGAAUUAUGAAAGUGGAUUAAGAAAUUACUAUUCUUUACUGCAUCGCAAAUGAUAACAAUUAAGGAAACAGUUCUUAUCUGGUUCUAUAAGUUUAUCAAUGUUAAAUCUCUCUGAAAUAUUUGAAUAUUUAACUAAAUAAGAUUUUCUAAUUUUAAGUUAAAUUAGCAAAUCUUUAUAGAAGUUCUCAUUAUGAUGUGUGGAUACUCAUAGCAUCAGCAAAUUUAAAUCUCUAGUAGGUAGAUUCACUUCUACAUGCAGCUCAGACAACUGUUAGAAACUUGUGUUUAGUAUGUAUCCCAGCAUAAAGCAAACCUUAUCUAUUUUGUAUUCCAGCGUAAAACAAUCCUUAUUAAUCUUAAUCUUUUUCAGUUCUAGUUUCCUUUUCCUGUCUAACCAAAUUGUUUGAACUUAAUAGGAAUAUUUUUCUUAAUCAUUUCUUAGGUCAAAUGUGACUAAAAUAAAAAAUACAUUGGUCUGUUGGCAUUUUAGUCCUGUUUCUAUUGAAACAACAAAUAAGUAAAAUAUUCUGUAAAAAUAACUUACUGUUUUUAAAAUAUAUAUAUUUUUAUAUAGAUGGACACAAUACCUUUAUUUUGUUUAGUUUUUUUAUGUGGUUCCGGGGAUCAAACCCAGUGCCUCACCCAUGCUAGGCAAGCACUCUACCACUGAGCCACAACCCCAGCCCCCAAAAUAACUUACUUGGAAGCUAAAUUAGUUAUUUCAGUAACUUUAGCAAAUUAAAUUUUAGAAAAAUCAUUAUACUUCUGAGGAAGAAAUAGGAUGGCUUUUGUGUAGACUUUUGUUUUCCCCAAAAUGCUUAUUUUGUUUGCCACAAAAUUGGGCAAAGGAGAAUCUUUUUAGAGCCAAGAACUUAUAUUAAGUAUAUAGAACUAUGAAAUUUACAGAUUACUGUGAAAUAUAAAAAUUUUGAGAAAUACUUAAAUGCAUUAUGUAGUUAUAGGAAUUAAAUAAUAAAUAUUAAAAGCACUUAUUUACAAAUGCUUACAAUAUUUAAUUUUUAUUUUGUUUACCAAAUUGCUAGGCACUUGGAGGUGUCCCAGGAAGUCAGCCAUUACUCCCCAGUGGAAUGGACCCAACGCGACAACAAGGUGACUAAUGUAGAAAUGAAAAUGAACCAAAGAGAAAUUCUUUAUUGUUAAUGAAAUUUUUAUUUAUUAAGCCUUCCAUAAUUUUACCAGUUGUAAUUUCAAGUAAUAUGGCUGAAUGAUUUAUGUUUUCAACUAGUUAUGUACAAUAGAAAGGGUGGUAAUAAUAAAAAACAGAAUACAUAAAUGUCCAAAAUUCUGUAUUUUAAUUAAUAACUUCUAAAAUACUUUACACAAUUUCUAACAAGUAGGAAGCUAAAUUAUUAUAUCAUUUAUGAUUUCCUCUGCCUUUUUCAGAUAGAGAAGUUAAUCCACCUGAAAGAUGGCAGAAGCAAAGAGGAUGCUAAGUAAUGACUUCAUUGGUUUAACAUUCCCAAUAAUCAGGUCCUUCCAUAGAGAUGUUGAAAGAUAUUUAAAUAUCUACAGAUAUUUAAAGCUCAGUUGUACUAUUUUUAGAAAGAGGAACAAAUGCUAGGAAAGAAGCAUUUCUUUCUACUCGACCUAGAGUAGGAAGAAAUUUUCAAGCAGGAGAUUAAGGGGGAAUGUGAAUAGGUGGUAGUUAGAGGUAAAAUAGUGACCAUAGAAACUGACCACAGAAACCAAAAUAAGAGGUCAUCAGACACUUGGUAAAUAAGAUACAGAUACACCUAGAAGGAAGGAGGCUAGCUUCCAGUUUAGCACUCGUGACCAUUACAUUUCUAAUAUCUUCAUACUUUUUUUAGGACAUCCAAAUAUGGGUGGGCCAAUGCAGAGAAUGACUCCUCCAAGAGGAAUGGUGCCCUUAGGACCACAG